ACUCCUACGGGAGGCAGCAGUGGGGAAUAUUGCACAAUGGGCGCAAGCCUGAUGCAGCCAUGCCGCGUGUAUGAAGAAGGCCUUCGGGUUGUAAAGUACUUUCAGCGGGGAGGAAGGCAAUACGGUUAAUAACCGUGUUGAUUGACGUUACCCGCAGAAGAAGCACCGGCUAACUCCGUGCCAGCAGCCGCGGUAAUACGGAGGGUGCAAGCGUUAUUCGGAAUUACUGGGCGUAAAGCGCACGCAGGCGGUCUGUCAAGUCGGAUGUGAAAUCCCCGGGCUCAACCUGGGAACUGCAUUCGAAACUGGCAGGCUUGAGUCUUGUAGAGGGGGGUAGAAUUCCAGGUGUAGCGGUGAAAUGCGUAGAGAUCUGGAGGAAUACCGGUGGCGAAGGCGGCCCCCUGGACAAAGACUGACGCUCAGGUGCGAAAGCGUGGGGAGCAAACAGGAUUAGAUACCCCUGUAGUCCCA
rnacentral:rRNA from 1 species